UUUUAAACGGUCUCAAAGCGGUCGUUUUUAACGGUUUGCUCUGGAGCCCUCCACUCUUGAGAAUUCUGCCCUGGGAGCAAGGCCAGGACUGCUGGCUGAGGUAAAGUUCCUGAGGCUGCUGAGGACCCCAAAGGAGAAGCAACCUUAGCCACGGUGCCAAGGUUGAAGGUCCACCAUGUCUGUGCUUCUCCGUCACGUUCCGGAAAUGCUGUUGCUGUCAGAUAUGAAAAAGAAGCAAGAAAGCUGGGUUGAGAAAAGCCAUUACACACACAGGGCCACGAGCAUGCGUUCGGCUUAUUCUCCUACCAGCAACUCUCACACCAGCAGAAGGCUCCCUCCAUGCAGUGGGGACGGGAACAAUGGACCCUCCCUCCCACGACCGCUUCCUGCCCCUGCUGCUGUGGGGACUGUGGAUGCCCCUAUCAAUGGCCUACGCCAGCAGCAUCUCCUCGCUCCUGUGCAGAGACCGCGCGGCCUUGGCAGUGUCAAUGGCUGCAACAGAGGUGAGCGCCUGCCCCCACCUGACUCUGGGUGUUAAUGAGGGGGUGUUCAGGGCUGCCUGUGGAGCAGCUGUUGUGUAUACUUUGCUCAGACAGGAGGACACCUCACUUGUCCACCCAGGGCCAUACUCCUCGUCCAUAAACUUCCUCAUCCUUCAUGUCUACCUCCAUGAACUGUGUGUCCACCACACCAUGUUCUACACCCUGCCAUGCACCAGGACUUGGACCUCCUGGUCACCACCACCUACCUGGACCUCCCAGAGAGCCACUACCACAGAGAAACGAUUGGUCUCUGGAGCAU